UGGGGAAUAUUGCACAAUGGGCGCAAGCCUGAUGCAGCCAUGCCGCGUGUAUGAAGAAGGCCUUCGGGUUGUAAAGUACUUUCAGCGAGGAGGAAGGCGUUGUGGUUAAUAACCGCAACGAUUGACGUUACUCGCAGAAGAAGCACCGGCUAACUCCGUGCCAGCAGCCGCGGUAAUACGGAGGGUGCAAGCGUUAAUCGGAAGUACUGGGCGUAAAGCGCACGCAGGCGGUCUGUCAAGUCGGAUGUGAAAUCCCCGGGCUCAACCUGGGAACUGCAUCCGAAACUGGCAGGCUAGAGUCUUGUAGAGGGGGGUAGAAUUCCAGGUGUAGCGGUGAAAUGCGUAGAGAUCUGGAGGAAUACCGGUGGCGAAGGCGGCCCCCUGGACAAAGACUGACGCUCAGGUGCGAAAGCGUGGGGAGCAAACA
rnacentral:rRNA from 1 species